rnacentral:tRNA from 1 species
GCGUUGGUAGUUCAGUGGUAGAAUUUGAACCUUCCAUGUGGGAGACCAGGGUUUGAUUUCCAGCCAGUGCG